CCCCCCGGGAGUGGGAAACGUAGCAGGUCAGGGCCACGAGGAGCCUGACAAACAAUUCGCCCGCCCCUGUUCCUUGUGUUAUCAAGGAGAGAACCCAGGUCGGGAGAGGGGGGAUCGAUCCCUUGGCAGGUCACCACCGGUCAGGCCCGCACGUGGGUUCUAGGCUGCGAAACGGUGCUCGGAGGCAGGAGCCCCGCGGGGAGCUGGAGAGGCCGUUCUGCUCGUGGGAGUGCGUGUAAACGCAUGUGUGUGCACAUCGGGGGGUGCUGCCCUCCAGCCCACACACCUCUAGGGAAGAAUAGGAAACGUCUGGUUUUUUCUUCCCCUGUUUCAUAAAGGAAGUGUCUACCUUCAAAAGUGGGGAGAAUGUGAGUGCAGUCCCCCACUACCACAAAUUAUGCAGUUGAAUUUCCCACAUUUGGAGAAAUUGCAGGCGUCAGCACAGCAGGAGUGCAAUGGGUGAGCCUCACCCUAGGGAGACCACCUUCGUGAUCAUGAUAGCUUCCCUACAAGAAAUCAGAAGACCACCACCAAGAGAGACACAGCCACUUUCCUGGUAAGAACCCUCCAGGUCCCUGGAAGGCCAGCUGACUUUCCAUGGGCCAGAAAACAGGAAAAGAGAAUUCAUUCAAUGGGCCAGGAUGUAAAUAAGCCAUAGGAGGCUGCGCCAUUCCAGGCUGCACCUGUGAGCAUCUCGCGACUGAAGCCCUGUCAGCGUUUCCAUGACAAACUGGUAUUUCUGGAGGCCUCACUUCAAGAGCAUGCCUUGUGGUAAGACUUGACACUAAAAUGCUGUCAUAAUUUUUUUUUACCUAGAAAAGAUUGGAUGCUCUAAAACCAACCUGCUCAUUA